CUUAACUUGUCCCAUCACUCAGCUUUGCUGUAACCACAUAGCCAUGGGAUUUCCUGUCCCAAGCUAGCCGUCUGUGCUUCUAAUUGUGUUUGUCAUAGAGCUGAAGGUGACAGUUGGCAGGGGAUUUAAGACCUAUCUAUCCUACUAGUGGGAGCCUCUCCAGCAAGGCCAAGGGCUCAGCUCUCUCCUCUGGAUGAAUACCUCUAGUCAUAUAGAUUGGACUUUGGAUGCCUAGGUUGACACGUAGCGGAUAAUCACCACCAGGUUCCAGGUGCUACCAUGAUGCCAGCCAGACGUCCCUGGGCAGAUGACCUCACCAAUGUGUCCUGGAGCACCACAUCCCCAGAGCCCCAACCCACUAGGGAAAGAGAGAGACAGGCUGGGAGUAUGGAUCGACCUGCCAAAGCCCAUGUUCAGUGGGGAAGCAAUUAUAGAAGCUAGACCUUCCACCUUCUGCACCCCAUAAUGACUCUGGGUCCAUACUCCCAGAGGGAUAAAGAAUAGGAAAGUUAUCAGAGGAGGGGAUGGAAUGUGGAGUUCUAGUGGUGGGAAUUGUGUGGAGUUGUACCCUCUUAUCCUAUGGUUUUUGUCAGUUUUUCCUUUUUAUGAAUAAAAUUUUUUUUAAAAGUUUUUCCUUUAUAUUUCAGUUUUCUCUGCUUUGUGAAAACUCCUAGAUU